rnacentral:rRNA from 1 species
UCAGUAGGGAAGAAGCGAAAGUGACGGUACCUGCAGAAGAAGCGCCGGCUAACUACGUGCCAGCAGCCGCGGUAAUACGUAGGGCGCAAGCGUUAUCCGGAAUUAUUGGGCGUAAAGAGCUCGUAGGCGGUUUGUCGCGUCUGCCGUGAAAGUCCGGGGCUCAACUCCGGAUCUGCGGUGGGUACGGGCAGACUAGAGUGAUGUAGGGGAGACUGGAAUUCCUGGUGUAGCGGUGAAAUGCGCAGAUAUCAGGAGGAACACCGAUGGCGAAGGCAGGUCUCUGGGCAUUAACUGACGCUGAGGAGCGAAAGCAUGGGGAGCGAACAGGAUUAGAUACCCUGGUAGUCCAUGCCGUAAACGUUGGGCACUAGGUGUGGGGGACAUUCCACGUUUUCCGCGCCGUAGCUAACGCAUUAAGUGCCCCGCCUGGGGAGUACGGCCGCAAGGCUAAAACUCAAAGGAAUUGACGGGGGCCCGCACAAGCGGCGGAGCAUGCGGAUUAAUUCGAUGCAACGCGAAGAACCUUACCAAGGCUUGACAUGAACCGGWAACGCCUGGAGACAGGUGCCCCGCUUGCGGUCGGUUUACAUGGUGGUGCAUGGUGUCGUCAGCUCGUGUC